GAUGAACGCUGGCGGCGUGCCUAAUACAUGCAAGUCGAGCGAACAGACGAGGAGCUUGCUCCUCUGACGUUAGCGGCGGACGGGUGAGUAACACGUGGAUAACCUACCUAUAAGACUGGGAUAACUUCGGGAAACCGGAGCUAAUACCGGAUAAUAUAUUGAACCGCAUGGUUCAAUAGUGAAAGACGGUUUUGCUGUCACUUAUAGUUGGAUCCGCGCCGCAUUAGCUAGUUGGUAAGGUAACGGCUUACCAAGGCAACGAUGCGUAGCCGACCUGAGAGGGUGAUCGGCCACACGGGAACUGGGCCACGGUCCAGACUCCUACGGGAGGCAGCAGUAGGGAAGCUUCCGCAAUGGGCGAAAGCCUGACGGAGCAACGCCGCGUGAGUGAUGAAGGUCUUCGGAUCGUAAAACUCUGUUAUUAGGGAAGAACAAAUGUGUAAGUAACUAUGCACGUCUUGACGGUACCUAAUCAGAAAGCCACGGCUAACUACGUG
rnacentral:rRNA from 1 species